rnacentral:misc_RNA from 1 species
GAUGAAGAACGUAGCGAAAUGCGAUACUUAGUGUGAAUUGCAGAAAUACGUGAAUCAUCAAGUCUUUGAACGCAAAUUGCGCUCGAGGCUUCGGCCAAGAGCAUGUCUGCCUCAGCGUCGGGUUAAUCCUCGUUUCACUACUCCCUGUGGGUGGUGUACAACGGACCUGGCUGUCUCGGCUUACCAGUUCUUUGACUGAUAAGCCGGGUCUGCUGAAGUGUAGAGAUUGAUGCAUGGACCCGCUAAGGGCCGCAACUGGGUAGGCUUUCAUUAGCUAAUCAUACUUUAGUUGUUGGUCUGGAUCCUAGCUGUUCAUCCCACAACCAGGAACCUUAACCCUUAUUUUCUCGACCUGAGCUCAGGCAAGGUUACCCGCUGAACUUAAGCAUAUCAAUAAGCGGAGG